AUAGCUGGUUCUCCCCGAAAUAGCUUUAGGGCUAGCCUCGAGGUAGAGAUUGCAGGCGGUAGAGCACUGAUCAGGAGAGGGACCUACCCGGUUACCAAACCCAGUCAAACUGCGAAUGGCUGCAAUUAUACUCGGGAGUCAGACUACGACUUAUAAGGGCCGUGGUCAAAAGGGAAACAGCCCAGAUCAUCAGCUAAGGUCCCAAAUGCCGUGCUAAGUGGCGAAGGAUGUGGCGUUUCAUAAACAACCAGGAUGUUGGCUCAGAAGCAGCCACCAUUUAAAGAGUGCGUAAUAGCUCACUGGUCGAGAGACGCUGCGCCGAAAAUGUCCGGGGCUCAAGCACGGAACCGAAGCUAUGGCAUGACAGCGAUGUCAUGGGUAGGGGAGCGUUCUUAUAAGGAAGAAGCAUUACCGUAAGGAGAUGUGGACAUAUAAGAAGUGAGAAUGCCGGUAUGAGUAUCGAAAAGAAAGGUGAGAAUCCUUUCCACCGAAAGCCCGAGGGUUCCUGAGCAACGAUCGUCGACUCAGGGUAAGUCGGGACCUAAGCCGAGGCGGAGACGCAUAGGCGAUGGACAACAGGUUGAAAUUCCUGUACCGGAUGGAGUCAUUUGAGCGAAGGAGCGACGCAGGAGGGCACAUGAUCGCGCGGCUGGAAGAGCGCGUCCAAGUGCGUAUGCGUAGAGGGAGGCAAAUCCCCCUUUACAGAAGCAGAGACAUGAUGGGGAGUUAAAGGAGACUUUGACGAACUCAUGGAUCCCACACUGCCAAGAAAAACUUCUAGCGAGACGAAAUCCGCCCGUACCGUAAACCGACACAGGUAGGCGGGGAGAGAAUCCUAAGGUGCGCGGGAAAACCCUCGUUAAGGAACUCGGCAAAUUGCAUCCGUAACUUCGGGAGAAGGAUGACCCUGAGUAGGCGAAAGGGAGAAACCCCCGGAACAGAAAAGGGUGGCAGAAAAGAGGCCCAAGCAACUGUUUACCAAAAACACAGGUGCCUGCGAAAGCGAAAGCUGAAGUAUAGGUGCUGACGCCUGCCCGGUGCUGGAAGGUUAAGGAGAGAGGUUAGCGCAAGCGAAGCUUUGAACUGAAGCCCCAGUGAACGGCGGCCGUAACUAUAACGGUCCUAAGGUAGCGAAAUUCCUUGUCGGGUAAGUUCCGACCCGCAUGAAAGGCGUAAUGAUUUGGGCACUGUCUCAACGAGGGGCCCGGUGAAAUUGAAAUACCUGUGAAGAUGCAGGUUACCCGCGACUGGACAGAAAGACCCCAUGGAGCUUCACUGCAGCUUGAGAUUGAAUCCCGGUGACAUAUGCACAGGAUAGGUGGGAGGCUAAGAAGUAAUGCCUUUGGGUGUUACAGAGCCGAUGUUGGGAUACCACCCUUAUGUUGCUGAGAUUCUAACACGGAGACUAACAACCUCGUGGACCAUCUCAGGCAGGCGGUUUGACUGGGGCGGUCGCCUCCUAAAAUGUAACGGAGGCG
rnacentral:rRNA from 1 species